rnacentral:rRNA from 1 species
UACGUAGGGACCAAGCGUUGUUCGGAUUUACUGGGCGUAAAGGGCACGUAGGCGGCUUGACAAGUCACUUGUGAAAUCUCCGGGCUUAACUCGGAACGGCCAAGUGAAACUGUCAUGCUAGAGUGCAGAAGGGGCAAUCGGAAUUCUUGGUGUAGCGGUGAAAUGCGUAGAUAUCAAGAGGAACACCUGAGGUGAAGACGGGUUGCUGGGCUGACACUGACGCUGAGGCGCGAAAGCCAGGGGAGCAAACGGG